UACAGAGGGUGCAAGCGUUAAUCGGAAUUACUGGGCGUAAAGCGUGCGUAGACGGUCAUGUAAGUCGGGUGUGAAAGCCCCGGGCUCAACCUGGGAAUUGCAUUCGAGACUGCAUGGCUAGGAUGCGGAAGAGGGAAGCGGAAUUUCCGGUGUAGCGGUGAAAUGCGUAGAUAGUUCGGCGAACACCAGUGGCGAAGGCGACUCACUGGCCCGAUACUGACGCUGAGGCGCGAAAGCGUGGGGAGCAAACAGG
rnacentral:rRNA from 1 species